GGAGUCGAUCACAUGCCCUACCGACUAUUGCCAAAAUGGCGGGGAAUGUCUGCGGGAAGGAGCAGUGCCAAGGGUCCAGUUCUCCUGCAAUUGUUCUGCUGGAUUCACCGGUGACGUUUGCCAGACAUCAAUAAAAGGUACUCCCCUUGCCGCCAUUCUGAUCCCGGUAAUAGCUCUCGUCUGCCUACUUGUGAUAAUUGGGGUCUGCACGGUGUACAGACACUCGAAGCAACCCGCGGCACCCCCGGAACUAAACCUGAAGGAGUAUGAGUAGGGGAGCGUCUGUACCGCCCAUAUCACGGCAGGUCUACCAGUGUUGGAGUCAAGACCUCAAAGUCCGAGACCGAGACCGAGACCGAGACCGAGACCUCAUAG